rnacentral:rRNA from 1 species
UGCAGCUCUCGCCUGGUUUCCUACUGAAGCUAAGCAGGGUUGAGCCUGUCUAAUACCUGGAUGGGAGACCUCCUGGGAGAAAACUAAAGGUUGUUGCUGAAA